AGGGCGCACGGUGGAUGCCUUGGCACUAGAAGCCGAUGAAGGACGUUACUAACGACGAUAUGCUUUGGGGAGCUGUAAGUAAGCUUUGAUCCAGAGAUUUCCGAAUGGGGAAACCCAGCAUGAGUUAUGUCAUGUUAUCGAUAUGUGAAUACAUAGCAUAUCAGAAGGCACACCCGGAGAACUGAAACAUCUUAGUACCCGGAGGAAGAGAAAGAAAAUUCGAUUCCCUUAGUAGCGGCGAGCGAAACGGGAAGAGCCCAAACCAACAAGCUUGCUUGUUGGGGUUGUAGGACACUCUAUACGGAGUUACAAAGGACGACAUUAGACGAAUCAUCUGGAAAGAUGAAUCAAAGAAGGUAAUAAUCCUGUAGUCGAAAAUGUUGUCUCUCUUGAGUGGAUCCUGAGUACGACGGAGCACGUGAAAUUCCGUCGGAAUCUGGGAGGACCAUCUCCUAAGGCUAAAUACUCUCUAGUGACCGAUAGUGAACCAGUACCGUGAGGGAAAGGUGAAAAGCACCCCGGAAGGGGAGUGAAAUAGAACCUGAAACCGUGUGCUUACAAGUAGUCAGAGCCCGUUAAUGGGUGAUGGCGUGCCUUUUGUAGAAUGAACCGGCGAGUUACGAUUUGAUGCAAGGUUAAGCAGUAAAUGUGGAGCCGUAGCGAAAGCGAGUCUGAAUAGGGCGUUUAGUAUUUGGUCGUAGACCCGAAACCAGGUGAUCUACCCUUGGUCAGGUUGAAGUUCAGGUAACACUGAAUGGAGGACCGAACCGACUUACGUUGAAAAGUGAGCGGAUGAACUGAGGGUAGCGGAGAAAUUCCAAUCGAACCUGGAGAUAGCUGGUUCUCUCCGAAAUAGCUUUAGGGCUAGCCUCAAGUGAUGAUUAUUGGAGGUAGAGCACUGUUUGGACGAGGGGCCCCUCUCGGGUUACCGAAUUCAGACAAACUCCGAAUGCCAAUUAAUUUAACUUGGGAGUCAGAACAUGGGUGAUAAGGUCCGUGUUCGAAAGGGAAACAGCCCAGACCACCAGCUAAGGUCCCAAAAUAUAUGUUAAGUGGAAAAGGAUGUGGCGUUGCCCAGACAACUAGGAUGUUGGCUUAGAAGCAGCCAUCAUUUAAAGAGUGCGUAAUAGCUCACUAGUCGAGUGACACUGCGCCGAAAAUGUACCGGGGCUAAACAUAUUACCGAAGCUGUGGAUUGUCCUUUGGACAAUGGUAGGAGAGCGUUCUAAGGGCGUUGAAGCAUGAUCGUAAGGACAUGUGGAGCGCUUAGAAGUGAGAAUGCCGGUGUGAGUAGCGAAAGACGGGUGAGAAUCCCGUCCACCGAUUGACUAAGGUUUCCAGAGGAAGGCUCGUCCGCUCUGGGUUAGUCGGGUCCUAAGCUGAGGCCGACAGGCGUAGGCGAUGGAUAACAGGUUGAUAUUCCUGUACCACCUAUAAUCGUUUUAAUCGAUGGGGGGACGCAGUAGGAUAGGCGAAGCGUGCGAUUGGAUUGCACGUCUAAGCAGUAAGGCUGAGUAUUAGGCAAAUCCGGUACUCGUUAAGGCUGAGCUGUGAUGGGGAGAAGACAUUGUGUCUUCGAGUCGUUGAUUUCACACUGCCGAGAAAAGCCUCUAGAUAGAAAAUAGGUGCCCGUACCGCAAACCGACACAGGUAGUCAAGAUGAGAAUUCUAAGGUGAGCGAGCGAACUCUCGUUAAGGAACUCGGCAAAAUGACCCCGUAACUUCGGGAGAAGGGGUGCUCUUUAGGGUUAACGCCCAGAAGAGCCGCAGUGAAUAGGCCCAAGCGACUGUUUAUCAAAAACACAGGUCUCUGCUAAACCGUAAGGUGAUGUAUAGGGGCUGACGCCUGCCCGGUGCUGGAAGGUUAAGAGGAGUGGUUAGCUUCUGCGAAGCUACGAAUCGAAGCCCCAGUAAACGGCGGCCGUAACUAUAACGGUCCUAAGGUAGCGAAAUUCCUUGUCGGGUAAGUUCCGACCCGCACGAAAGGCGUAACGAUUUGGGCACUGUCUCAACGAGAGACUCGGUGAAAUCAUAGUACCUGUGAAGAUGCAGGUUACCCGCGACAGGACGGGAAGACCCCGUGGAGCUUUACUGUAGCCUGAUAUUGAAAUUCGGCACAGCUUGUACAGGAUAGGUAGGAGCCUUUGAAACGUGAGCGCUAGCUUACGUGGAGGCGCUGGUGGGAUACUACCCUAGCUGUGUUGGCUUUCUAACCCGCACCACUUAUCGUGGUGGGAGACAGUGUCAGGCGGGCAGUUUGACUGGGGCGGUCGCCUCCUAAAAGGUAACGGAGGCGCUCAAAGGUUCCCUCAGAAUGGUUGGAAAUCAUUCAUAGAGUGUAAAGGCAUAAGGGAGCUUGACUGCGAGACCUACAAGUCGAGCAGGGUCGAAAGACGGACUUAGUGAUCCGGUGGUUCCGCAUGGAAGGGCCAUCGCUCAACGGAUAAAAGCUACCCCGGGGAUAACAGGCUUAUCUCCCCCAAGAGUUCACAUCGACGGGGAGGUUUGGCACCUCGAUGUCGGCUCAUCGCAUCCUGGGGCUGUAGUCGGUCCCAAGGGUUGGGCUGUUCGCCCAUUAAAGCGGUACGCGAGCUGGGUUCAGAACGUCGUGAGACAGUUCGGUCCCUAUCCGUCGUGGGCGUAGGAAAUUUGAGAGGAGCUGUCCUUAGUACGAGAGGACCGGGAUGGACAUACCUCUGGUGUACCAGUUGUCGUGCCAACGGCAUAGCUGGGUAGCUAUGUGUGGACGGGAUAAGUGCUGAAAGCAUCUAAGCAUGAAGCCCCCCUCAAGAUGAGAUUUCCCAACUUCGGUUAU
rnacentral:rRNA from 1 species